rnacentral:lncRNA from 1 species
GCCAAAACUUGUAGUCCUCCUACCCAUCCAUUCCUGUAGAGUAAUAUACUAAAUUCUCUUUACUACAGUCAAUCAUCAUUUUGUAAAUAUUUAUUGAACAACUGCUAUAGAGCAAACACUACAUGAAACAGAAUAAAAUUGUCGUUACUUUCUAGUUGCUCAGAAUUUCAUGGUAACACCUCUAAGGAAAGCAAAUAAUUGUACCAAUAGAAAACUGUUAUAAUAGAGGCAUACAUACAGGAGUAGUCAAUUUUUGGUUGGAAAUCCAUGGAAGACUCAACAGCGGGAAGCUGCUGUGGGAUUACAAAGACAAACUGGGCAAUGGGAAAAAACUGCAAGUUAGAUAGGUGGAGCAUGCUCAGAAGAUGGAAACCUUGUCCUCAGAUGACCUCGAACCACCUAGGAACCAGAAGUUCCCUAACUAUGGAAUUCAAUGUGAAGAGAAAGCAGAAUGGGGAACCUAAUAAGAAAUGAGGGCUCCCUUGAUUUGUAGCACAUUGGACUUAUAAGAUUGUUACACUCCCACCCUCCAAUCAGAUUCUGCCAGUUAACACUUUGUAUAACCACUCACACUCCCAGCUCCUUAAAACUCUGUCCCAGCUUCAGCUUGAGGAGACAGAUUUAAGCCUUGCCUCCUGUCUCCUUGUUGGUCAGCCAUGCAAUAAAGCUCUUUCUUCU